rnacentral:tRNA from 1 species
GGGGAUUUAGCUCAGUGGUAGAGCACUUGCUUAGCAAGCACAAGGCCCUAGGUUCAGUCCCCA